AGAUUGAACGCUGGCGGCAUGCCUAACACAUGCAAGUCGAACGGGAGUAGCAAUACUCUAGUGGCGGACGGGUGAGGAAUACGUAGGAAUUUGCCCCUUAAGUGGGGGAUAACCCGGGGAAACCCGGAUUAAUACCGCAUGACCUCGAAAGAGCAAAGUGGGGGAUCGCAAGACCUCACGCUUUUGGAGAAGCCUACGUCGGAUUAGCUAGUUGGUGAGGUAAUGGCUCACCAAGGCGACGAUCCGUAACUGGUCUGAGAGGAUGAUCAGUCACACCGGAACUGAGACACGGUCGGACUCCUACGGGAGGCAGCAGUGGGGAAUAUUGGACAAUGGGCGCAAGCCUGAU
rnacentral:rRNA from 1 species